UGGGGAAUUUUGGACAAUGGGCGAAAGCCUGAUCCAGCCAUGCCGCGUGAGUGAAGAAGGCCUUCGGGUUGUAAAGCUCUUUUAGUCGGAAAGAAAGAGUCGCAAUGAAUAAUUGUGAUUUAUGACGGUACCGACAGAAAAAGCACCGGCUAACUACGUGCCAGAAGCCGCGGUAAUACUUAGGGUGCGAGCGUUAAUCGGAAUUACUGGGCGUAAAGGGUGCGCAGGCGGUUUUGCAAGUCAGAUGUGAAAGCCCCGGGCUUAACCUGGGAGUUGCGUUUGAAACUACAAGGCUAGAGUGCAGCAGAGGGGAGUGGAAUUCCAUGUGUAGCAGUGAAAUGCGUAGAGAUGUGGAAGAACACCGAUGGCGAAGGCAGCUCCCUGGGUUGACACUGACGCUCAUGCACGAAAGCGUGGGGAGCAAACA
rnacentral:rRNA from 1 species